rnacentral:snRNA from 1 species
GUGUUUGAGGUCAAUAUCAAGUACUAAACAGCUCUAGGGUUGACUAUGACUUAUAUCGAACAUGGUUCUUGCCUUUUACCAGAACCAUCCGGGUAUUGUCUCAACUUGCAUUUUAACUAAUGGCACUGCCAAUUCCUCAAAUCAUUUUUUGGAACUCUUUUCUCAUUUCAAUGGGAAU